rnacentral:rRNA from 1 species
UAAUACGGAGGGUGCAAGCGUUAUCCGGAAUCAUUGGGUUUAAAGGGUCCGCAGGCGGAUGUAUAAGUCAGUGGUGAAAUCCUGCAGCUUAACUGCAGAACUGCCAUUGAUACUGUACAUCUUGAAUUCGGUCGAAGUGGGCGGAAUGUGUAGUGUAGCGGUGAAAUGCAUAGAUAUUACACAGAACACCGAUAGCGAAGGCAGCUCACUAGACCUGGAUUGACGCUCAGGGACGAAAGCGUGGGGAUCAAACAGGAUUAGAUACCCUGGUAGUCCACGCUGUAAACGAUGAUUACUCGUUUUCGGCGAUAUACAGUCGGAGACUAAGCGAAAGUGAUAAGUAAUCCACCUGGGGAGUACGAUCGCAAGGUUG